AAGCAAUUCCGUUCCCCCCAGCUAGGACUGGUCCAAGAAGUGUUGGCAGAUGCCACGUCUGUGCUGAGUAAGGAGGCCCUUGGGGUCCUCCUGUAUGGAAGUACAGGUGAGGAAACAAUGCUGCCCUUCUCCUGAGCAACAGAUUGUGCUGGGUAGAGCCGAGCAUCGGCGCGCACGGGUGGCUGCACACUUCAAGCCCAGGGCCCAAUUGCGGGAAGGUGCCGCAACGCACCCACUCGGUGGUGUGUAUCGGCAGAGGCUGACGCACUAGCCCUUCUUCUACCUCGCCUUCCUUUCCCACCCGUCUCCACCCACCACCCGGCGUGUGUGGGGUGGGCGGGGGUGGGCACGCUUGUGUGCAUGGGUUAGGAGGAGACCGGGAGGAGCUCGGGAGACUUUCUGAUUCGAAGACCUCCUCGUUCUCCCCACCUCUCUUUCCCAAAGGGCUGGCCGCCGGAGGACGUUUCCAAGGAAUCGGGCCAACACAGUUCUGCCGAACGCCUCUGUCGGUGUUUGCAUAGUAAGGUUCUGUCCGUAUCCUAUUUGCGAGGUCUCAGCAACUAUCCAAGUCAAGCUUUCCAUCCGAACCUGGGAAGAACAACUGGGAGGAGUGGCCAGCAGGGCUCGGACAGAAGCCUUCUGGGGCUCAAGAUGGAUGGAGGAGGGCCGAGCGCAGAGCCAGCCCAAAGGCUGAGCCGGGGAGGGUGGGAUGGCAGAUGAUCUCCGUCCAGCUUGCUCCUUCCCCAGGAGGCCAAGGCACCGUGUCAAGAAGGGGCUUUGGAAAGAAGGCCCCGCCACACGCACACACACACAAUGGCAACUUUUUCUCCUUCUCCUGGGGAAUCGUCCUGGCCCCAGCUUUUGAAGUCAGGAGAAAGAACGGUAGCUCAUGCGUCGGCAGUCGGUCGGUCAUGCGGAUUAAGACGGUAAAGUUAUGUCUCUUACGGAAAUCAUGCCAUUAACCUAAAGAGUCGCAGACAGACAGCCCUGUCUCUGGAAGCUCAUCGCUCCACUCGCCUGGCCACGUGGAGAGGAACGAGGAGAGUGGAGGUUUUUCAAAGCUCCUGCUUUGGAUGAAACUCUGCUAACUUUAGGACCCGGAGGAAAGCCUCAAGCCCACGUUGCCCCCCUGCAGCUGCUAUUGGAGCAGGUUCGCUCAGCUCCGGCCAAUUCUGCCCCCCCCCCCCCGCCACGGGUCUUUGGGUGCAAAAGGCCAGCUGGGCUGAUCCAGAAGCUGAAUCAGGAUAAAGGCUGCCCACUGUCCAGCAGGAUUGGAGGGGGAGAGAAAGGGGGCUGAUCAGGGGAAACAAAUCUACAUCAAACCUCUCUGAAAUACAAGAAUAUCAAACCCAGCGUGGUCCAACUUA